rnacentral:rRNA from 1 species
AGGACUAACGCUGGCGGCGUGCCUAACACAUGCAAGUCGAACGGGGGUAGCAAUACCCCAGUGGCAGACGGGUGAGCAACACGUGGUCAACCUACCUCUGUGUGGGGGAUAACUAGCCGAAAGGUUAGCUAAUACCGCAUACGAUCGUUUUGAGGCAUCUCGAGACGAUGAAAGGAGCAAUCCGCACGGAGAGGGGACUGCGUCCCAUUAGUUAGUUGGUGGGGUAACGGCCUACCAAGACUCCGAUGGGUAGCUGGCUUGAGAGAGCGACCAGCCACACUGGAACUGAGACACGGUCCAGACUCCUACGGGAGGCAGCAGUGAGGAAUUUUCCGCAAUGGGCGAAAGCCUGACGGAGCGACGCCGCGUGUGGGGAUGGAAGGCCUUCGGGUCGUAAACCACUGUCGAAGGGGACGAUAUUGACGGUACCCUUGGAGGAAGCCCCGGCUAACUACGUGCCAGCAGCCGC